rnacentral:sRNA from 2 species
AAGUAAAAUAUGCCGAAUCCCCGAAAAGGGGUACGGGGGAUUUUUCUUUGGGGUGAAUCCACUUAGGUGGUAGGGCGGCCCUUUGCCCGAACCCGUCAACUAACCUCGGAGGCAAAAGGGGGAUUUUUA